CAAGAGAUGCCAUAGCCCAUGCUACAGUAGAUCGGAGUCCUGCAGUUUGGAUAUACUCUCUGGUCGCCAGUGGAAGUCUGCAAACAACAAGAGGGAUUUUGGAUUUUCUUUAGAGAGGUUUCCUUGUUCAACCUUAUUUCCAUGAAGAUGUUUCCAAAUGGAAAUAAUAUCCAGCCAACAUCCCGGGUCCUCAAUUACAAGUUUUUGAAUUUCAUUAAAUACUUUUCCUAAAAGAGAUCUGAACUUAGUUUAUUCUGUGUUAACAUUUUAAUACACACAAUUUAUUUUUACUAAUCAACAUUAAAGUAUAUGUUUGGGAAUAUUAAACACUUAUUUCCUAGGACUGUUAAAUGAAAUAACAAUGCCUUACAAAAAGUCUAAUCCAUUCAUUUUCAUGGAUAAAGAAAUUUUACUUUUACUCAGGGUUAUUGCAUAUUCACACAUGACAAAAUCAGCACAGUAAGUAGGGUCAGGAUCAUUAUAGUUUCCACCCAAAUUUUCUACAACAAAAUUUCUUAAAACAUUUCAUACAAAAGCAGUUUAAGACAACAGGUAUUAAAGAGAACAAUUAACUCUAUGAAUUUGUUAACUCCCGAGGCACCAGUGAUUGUAAAUAUUGCAAUUCUGAAAUGAUUUAGUUAUGGGUGGUGUUAAAUCAAUCAUAUCCUGCUUUGUCCUGGCCUUGCCCAUAGCUCUCCCCUCUGCUCAGAUACUCAGAGCUCUGCAUGGCAAUGGGCCAAAUUCUGGAGCUAGCUCAUGGCUGGGAAGCCAGCAUGGUUUAAUAGUUAAUCACAAUCCCAGUGUGCGAAAAUGACUUGGGUUCUUAAUCCCUAUUCUACCAAUUACUAGUUUUUUGCCUUUGGAUAAAUCAACUUAAUCUCUCUGUCACUUAGUUGUCCCAUUGUAAAAUAAGGAUAAUGCUUAUUCAGCUUAUAAGGCACUUAGAAAUGCUGUUCAACUCUGAAAAGUGGCUAAAAGUCAGAUCCGUUUCCCCAUUUGGAUUCAGACACAUACUAGUAUCGGCUAACUUUUUUUUUAAGUUACGUUUUACUCUUGCUAACAUUGCAGAGCCUAAACAUCUUCAGAAGAAGGAACUGGAGUCUAUUCCUUCUUGUGCAUUAUCAACAGAACUAUUAACUAAAUUCCUACAGCAAAGCCAAAUUAUGACCAUAUUUAAGCAACAGCAACACCAGAGUCUCCGCAGGUGUAAGGAAACAGCAGUUAGUCCACAAAACCUUUAUUACAGGCAAUUAGAAUAAGAAGUAAAGAACCCAACUGUAAAGAUAUAAACAUGUGAUUAACUUUAAAUACAUGAGUAGUCCCAUUGACGUCACUAGAGUAAAAUAUUGAGAAAUUGAACCUUGGGGAAUAAAAUUAGUACAAGUAUUAUGAUCUUCAGUUUUCCUCAGUACACAGAUGAAAGAAAGAAAGUUAGGUACUUCUAUUUAUUUUUUGAACUUUAGGUCCAUGGAUAAAUUUGAUCCUCCAUGACAAGUUUUAAAAUAUUUUUCAAGUUCCUAAUUAGAUUAAAAUAAAAAUAGUGAUGAUAGAAUUUGAUCUUCGCAGAUACUUAUAACAUUUGAAACUUCAUACCACAAAUAAUCCAUCUCAGUUUAUAUAUCUAAAUCCACUCAACUCCAAGAAAAUUAUCCUCCCCACUCAUUAUACAUAAUCUCCAGAUUUACACCAUGAUAUAUGAAAACAGAAUUUGGCAGAAUUCAACAAAAUCUGUUUCAUUCAGUACAUAUCCCCGACUCAUCAGCUGUUCCCUGUCUAAUUUGAUCACCCAAUGAGGCAGGGGCCCUGUGGAAAAAAAAAAACUAAGCAGCCAUGCAACUAAGGAGUAUCACAGAAUCAGAGAACUGGAAGGGACCUUGAGAGGUCA